AUGCAAGUCGAACGUGAAGCCUUAGCUUGCUAGGGUGGAAAGUGGCGAACGGGUGAGUAACACGUAAGUAAUCUACCUCUAAGUUUGGGAUAACCUUGCCAACGCGGGGCUAAUACCGGAUGUGAUCAUGAAAACGCAUGUUUUUAUGAUUAAAGAUGCAAAUCGUUUAGAGAUGAGCUUGCGGCCCAUUAUGUUUGUUGGUAGGGUAAUGGCCUACCAAACUACGAUGGGUAGCCGGCCUGAGAGGGUGAACGGCCACAUUGGGACUGAGAUACGGCCCAGACUCCUACGGGAGGCAGCAGUAGGGAACUUUGCGCAAUGGGCGAAAGCCUGACGCAGCAACGCCGCGUGAAGGAUGAAGGUUUUCGGAUCGUAAACUUCUGUUAUGUGGGAAGAAAAGCUCGCAAGAGUAUGACGGUACCACUUGAGUAAGCACCGGCUAACUACGUGCCAGCAGCCGCGGUAAUACGUAGGGUGCAAGCGUUGUUCGGAAUUACUGGGCGUAAAGGGAGUGUAGGCGGAAUUAUAAGUUAGAAGUUUAAUUUACGGGCUCAACCCGUGAACUGCUUUUAAUACUGUAGUUCUAGAGUAUGGGAGAGGGUGAUGGAAUUCCAGGUGUAGCGGUGGAAUGCGUAGAUAUCUGGAAGAUCACCAGUUGCGAAGGCGGUCGCCUGGCCCAAUACUGACGCUGAUGCUCGAAAGCUAGGGGAGCGAACAGGAUUAGAUACCCUGGUAGUCCUAGCCGUAAACGAUGGACACUAGUUGCUGGAGGAGUCAAUCUUUUCAGUGACGAAGCUAACGCAUUAAGUGUCCCGCCUGGGAAGUACGCCCGCAAGGGUGAAACUCAAAGGAAUUGACGGGGGCCCGCACAAGCGGUGGAGUAUGUGCUUUAAUUCGAUGCAACGCGAAGAACCUUACCUGGGUUUGACAUGGGGGUGAAAGUUUCCAGAGAUGGAUUCCUUUCCGCAAGGAACACCCUACACAGGUGCUGCAUGGUUGUCGUCAGCUCGUGUCGUGAGAUGUUGGGUUAAGUCCCGCAACGAGCGCAACCCUCGCCCUUAGUUGCCAUCAGGUUAUGCUGGGAACUCUAAGGGGACCGCCUAGUUUAACUAGGAGGAAGGUGGGGAUGACGUCAAAUCAUCAUGGCCCUUACGCCCAGGGCUUCACGCAUGCUACAAUGGCCGGUACAAAGGGCUGCGAUACCGCAAGGUGGAGCGAAUCCCAAAAAGCCGGUCUCAGUUCGGAUUGGGGUCUGCAACUCGACCCCAUGAAGUCGGAGUCGCUAGUAAUCGCAGAUCAGCAACGC
rnacentral:rRNA from 1 species